UACGAAGGGUGCAAACGUUGCUCGGAAUCAUUGGGCGUAAAGCGCACGUAGGCGGCCCAGCAAGUCGGGUGUGAAAGCCCUCGGCUUAACCGAGGAAGUGCAUUCGAAACUACUGAGCUUGAAUACUGGAGAGGAUCGCGGAAUUCCCGGUGUAGAGGUGAAAUUCGUAGAUAUCGGGAGGAACACCAGUGGCGAAGGCGGCGAUCUGGACAGAUAUUGACGCUGAGGUGCGAAAGCGUGGGGAGCAAACAGG
rnacentral:rRNA from 1 species